rnacentral:rRNA from 1 species
GACAGAGGGUGCAAACGUUGUUCGGAAUUACUGGGCGUAAAGCGCGUGUAGGCGGCUUUGCAAGUCGGAUGUGAAAUCCCACGGCUCAACCGUGGAAGUGCAUCCGAAACUGCAUCGCUGGAGUCUCGGAGAGGAAGGUGGAAUGCUUGGUGUAGAGGUGAAAUUCGUAGAUAUCAAGCAGAACACCUGCGGCGAAGGCGGCCUUCUGGACGAUGACUGACGCUGAGACGCGAAAGCGUGGGGAGCAAACAGG